ensembl:lncRNA
GAGAGAGAGAGAGAGAGAGAGCGAGGGAGAGAUUGCACUGGGGAGUUGAGUGUGUGUGAGAGAGAGAGGGAGAGAGAGAGCGCGCACUGGGGAUGUGUGUGUGAGAGAGAGAGAGAGAGAGAGAGAGAGCGAGCGCGAGCGCAUUGGGGAGGUGUGUGUGAGAGAGUGAGAGAGAGACAGAGAGAGAGAGCGCACUGGGGAUGGGAGAGGGAGAGAGAGAGACAGAGCACUGGGGAGGUGUCCGACACAUGACCAGACGUUCGCGCCUCUUUUGGAUUCCCGAAGAUUCAAAACAAGUUUUCGAGUUGUCAAAUACGACGCCACAGCACGAAAUCCUGCCGAAGUUUCCGAGAAGUUGAUCAUCUUCAACAAUGAGGAGGCGCUUGGAGAGAGGGCCUUCUACUGCUUGCUUUGCUUUUCUUUUCUUCUCUUCAUGUUUACACUAAGGUCACAAGGGAAAUCCUAGAUUGAUAAUUAGAAAAAAAAAGUCAUUUGAGAAUAGUCAACUAGUUCCUGGAUUUAAGUUUAAACUUUAGGUUUGAUUGGAGUUUGUGUGGUUUUACUUGGUUCCUUCCGUUCUCCUCAAUGGAGAUCCUCCAUUUUGAUGAUAAAGGGCGCGUGGAAAACACGCUGCUCACGAGCUCGAGUAUUUCAUGUGAAUCCGGUCUGCUAUUUCAGAUAAACGCGAAUAUCACAGUUUAACCACAAAACUGAAAAAGUUUCCGACGUGGAGCUAAAAUUGCACUCGCUUGGAUGACGAUUCCUUAAAAUUAUUCUCCAGGAAGGGAUUGGGAAGGCCACGUGGCUUGCCAUCAACUCAUGCCAUAUCUAAGUAGCCCUUAUGUUUUUUUUUUUUUAACACAAGAGUUUAUUUACCUUACUGAACGAUGAAGCAAAUUACGCAGCAAACGUUUGAAUUAAGAAAGUCUGACGUGUCUGAAAUUUGAUCACUGAACUUAAAUGGAUUUCUACAAAGCAACCUAAGUCACGUGGCUGUGCUUGUUUCCUGCGGUGAGUUUUCAUUAAUCUGCUGAUCCUCCCCUAUAUUAUACUUCAAUAAGUGAUUGGGAAGGAAGGCCACGUGAUCGGACAUCAAACUGUAGUGUCCAAGUAGCCGACGUCUCUUUUAGCUAGGUAAGAGUUAGUUUUUGUAUUAAGUGAUGAGGUGGAUUACUCGUUAAGCAGCCCCGAUUAGGAAACCAAUGUUGGAAAUUAAAUUAAAUCCACGUGCUUGUUGUUGAUUCCAUAAAGUGUUUGCAUUAAUCUGUUAAAGUGUUUGUUGUUUCUGGCAAGUGACAUUUUCCCUUCACAGCUAUUUUAAUUUUUUUUAUAUAUGUAUAAAAUGUAUGUAUAUAAAAUGUGUGUGUGAGAGAUAUAUAUAUCACAUUUAUUUAUUUGUGUAUAUAUACAUUUUCCCCUCAUAGCUAUUUUAAAUUAUAUAUAUAUAUAUAUAUAUAAUAUUGUGUAUAUAUUAUAUAUACAUUUGUUUAUAUAUUUCACUCAUAGCUAUUUUAAAUUAUAUAUAUAUAAUUUUGUGUAUAUAUUAUAUAUACAUUUGUUUAUAUAUUUCACUCAUAGCUAUUUUAAAUUAUAUAUAUAAAAUAUACACAUUUAUUUAUUUUUCUGUGCAUAUAUACAUUUUCCCCUCAUAGCUAUUUUAAAUUAUAUAUAUAUAUAUAUAUAUAUAUAUAUAU